GACGGGGGGUCCAAGCGUUGUUCGGAAUCAUUGGGCGUAAAGCGUGUGCAGGUGGCUCUGUAAGUUGGAUGUGAAAGCCCCGGGCUCAACUCGGGAAGUGCAUUCAAAACUACAAAGCUUGAGUAAGGAAGAGGGUCGUGGAAUUCCUGGUGUAGUGGUGAAAUACGUAGAUAUCAGGAGGAACACCGGUGGCGAAGGCGGCGACCUGGUCCUAUACUGACACUCAUACACGAAAGCGUGGGGAUCAAACAGG
rnacentral:rRNA from 1 species